UACGAAGGGUGCAAGCGUUACUCGGAAUUACUGGGCGUAAAGCGUGCGUAGGUGGUUUGUUAAGUCUGAUGUGAAAGCCCUGGGCUCAACCUGGGAAUUGCAUUGGAUACUGGCAGGCUAGAGUGCGGUAGAGGGUAGUGGAAUUUCCGGUGUAGCAGUGAAAUGCGUAGAUAUCUGGAGGAACACCGGUGGCGAAGGCGGCAUCCUGGACCAACACUGACACUGAGGAGCGAAAGCCAGGGGAGCAAACGGG
rnacentral:rRNA from 1 species